GGGGGUGUACCGGUUUCGACGUGGGUUUUGAACUUGAGACAGCAUGUCGUGUUACUCUGGGUCACGUAAAAACUGGGGAAAUUUUAAAAUAAACGCAAACGAAAAUAAUUUAAUAGCUGCCUAGUUGCAGCUCGUCCCUUUUAAUCCUCCUGCCGAUUAAAAGCUGACGCCAUUUAUGCAGGGUACGAUUUAGGAGUUGUCUUGAUCCUAAAUAAGUAUAAUUGAGACUUAAGCAGCAAAGGAGCCUGUCAUUCGGCGCUAUUGCGGCUGAACAAUUAAAAGAAUAGACUAAACAUGUAGACGUAGCAGGGAAUGGGUUUACGGACAGGGGUUCGACUCCCCUCAUCUCCAUCA
rnacentral:tmRNA from 1 species